rnacentral:rRNA from 1 species
GCCCUAUACCCGUUAAGGCAUCAUGGCCUGUACCCGAAACCGACACAGGUGGGGUGGUAGAGAAUACCGAGGGGCGCGAGGUAACUCUCUCUAAGGAACUCGGCAAAAUGGCCCCGUAACUUCGGGAGAAGGGGUGCCACCGCAAGGUGGUCGCAGUGAAGAGGCCCAGGCGACUGUUUACCAAAAACACAGGUCUCCGCUAAGUCGCAAGACGAUGUAUGGGGGCUGACGCCUGCCCAGUGCCGGAAGGUUAAGGAAGCUGGUCAGCGCAAGCGAAGCUGGCGACUGAAGCCCCGGUGAACGGCGGCCGUAACGAUAACGGCCCUAAGGUAGCGAAAUUCCUUGUCGGGUAAGUUCCGACCCGCACGAAAGGCGUAACGAUCUGGGCGCUGUCUCGGAGAGAGGCUCGGCGAAAUAGAAUUGUCUGUGAAGAUGCGGACUACGUGCACCCGGACAGAAAGACCCUAUGAAGCUUUACUGUAGCUUGGUAUUGUGCCCGGGCUCUGAAUGCGCAGGAUAGGUGGGAGGCUUUGAUCAUCGGCUUGCGGGUCGAUGUGAGCCAACGGUGAGAUACCACUCUUUCAGAGCUAGGGUUCUAACAGUCACCCGUUAUCCGGGGACUGGACAGUAUCAGGUGGGCAGUUUGACUGGGGCGGUCGCCUCCUAAAAGGUAACGGAGGCGCGCAAAGGUCUGCUCAGGCUGGUUGGAAAUCAGCCGACGAGUGUAAAAGCAGAAGCAGGCUUGACUGUGAGACCUACAAGUCGAACAGGGAGGAAACUCGGCUUUAGUGAUCCGACGGUUCUGCGUGGAAGGGCCGUCGCUCAACGGAUAAAAGUUACUCUAAGGAUAACAGGCUGAUCUCCCCCAAGAGUUCACAUCGACGGGGAGGUUUGGCACCUCGAUGUCGGCUCAUCGCAACCUGGGGCUGAAGUCGGUCCCAAGGGUUGGGCUGUUCGCCCAUUAAAGCGGUACGCGAGCUGGGUUCAGAACGUCGUGAGACAGUUCGGUCCAUAUCCGGUGCAUGCGCAGGAAUAUUGAGAGGAGUUCUCCCUAGUACGAGAGGACCGGGAGGAACGCACCUCUGGUGUACCAGUUAUCGUGCCAACGGUAAACGCUGGGUAGCCACGUGCGGAGAGGAUAACCGCUGAAAGCAUCUAAGUGGGAAGCCCACCUCAAGAUGAGUAUUCCCAUGGCGUUAGCCAGUAAGGUCACGGGAAGAACACCCGUUGAUAGGCUCUAUGUGGAAGCGCAGUAAUGCGUGAAGCAGAGGAGUACUAAUAGACCGAGGGCUUGACCC